AUUCUAUUUGUGAGCAGCAGUGUUGUGUAUCCGGUUCAUUGAGUUGAUAGGAUUAGUGUAAAUGUUGGAGAAAUAAACGUUUUAUCUGGUUCGUGUCUUAUCAAAGCUUUCUUUCUGGUAAAGCGUCAAAAGGACACAUAUGAUUGAUAACUUGUACUUAGUUCAACUGUAGAUGUAGCGUGUGAUGGGUACAUAUGACUAGCCAUGUUUUGUCGCAUAAUCAAUUUAAGUAACUUGAACUUGUUUGCUCAUUUUAUGUUUUUGGGUGGUCGUAUAUAUGUGUCACAGUGUAUGAUGUCCGUAUGUCUGUAUGUAUGCCCUGGUGAUGUCAUUUGAUUCUGAUUUGGGACAAAAUGAUAUUCUAUUUAUUGAAUGUUUUAAUAUCAAAGAUUGGAUUGAUUCUUAAUAACUACAUGUACUUUUAAUUGUGGGGUAUUUUUUCCAGAGAUUUGCAUUUUAUGUUUACACUAUGAUAAUCAUACAUGUCUAAAGCUAUUAAUCUUGUUUUAUUGUUUUAUUUUAAUGCGGUUCAAAUACGUAUAGUCAUUCUUAUUGAUGAUUCUUGGAAAGGUGCCAUGUUGUAUUUUUGUGAGAAUAUUAAUUGUUACGAUAACAUUAAAGCGCCAUGUUAUAGAAUAUAGGGUGGCUUGAUUGUUGAUAAAAAAUUAAAUCUACAAACCUUCUU
rnacentral:misc_RNA from 1 species